GCUCAGCUCUGAAAGAUGCCCAAAAGAAAGAAAGAAAAAAACACAGUCUGAGGGGAGGCUAGAGAAGAACGGCAGAGCAAGACACUCAGCUGCAUUUGAAGAGACAGAGGUCAGCGAACCAUCUUCCCUGCUGAAGAAAUGUCUUCUGCAACACUCACCCAGAAGGAAGAUAAAAAAUGAUGUUUUGCAUCACAAAGCCAUAAUAUAUGCUUUGUUCCCAUCCACAAUAGGCCGCUCAGGGAGAUCCCUCACGUUCAGUGCACCUUCAGCAAUAAACCAAACCACAGAUGACAACAUACGAUGAGGAGGAACACUGACAACGGACCACACAGAAGCCCAUGAAGUUGUAUGACAAGAACGAUGCUGUGUUAUGAACGUGGGCGUGUGAAUUGUGAAGCAACGAUGUUCCACUUCAACGUGACUAUCCAAAAAAAUCCUCUUCCAGAGGGCAUUCAGAGUAGCACUUUAAUUAGGCUCUUGUUGCAAUGGCUCCAACAAAGUUUCUUUCUUCCUUUCCCAAACAAAAUGCUGCUGACACAGAGGAAGAUUAGCCUGGGGAAGCUGAAGUCAGCCUCUGUGAUUACCCACCUUAGGCUUACUCUGGGACUUUCACGUCUCAGUGCACACUUGCUUUAUUGUUUUUCCCCCC